rnacentral:rRNA from 1 species
CAGUAGCCGCGGUAAUACGAGGGGGGCAAGCGUUGUUCGGAAUUAUCGGGCGUAAAGGGCUCGCAGGCGGUUUCUUAAGUCUGAUGUGAAAGCCCCCGGCUCAACCGGGGAGGGUCAUUGGAAACUGGGAAACUUGAGUGCAGAAGAGGAGAGUGGAAUUCCACGUGUAGCGGUGAAAUGCGUAGAGAUGUGGAGGAACACCAGUGGCGAAGGCGACUCUCUGGUCUGUAACUGACGCUGAGGAGCGAAAGCGUGGGGAGCGAACAGGAUUAGAUACCCGCGUAGUCCCUGUCUCUUAUAU